rnacentral:rRNA from 1 species
GGUUAAGCGACUAAGCGUACACGGUGGAUGCCCUGGCAGUCAGAGGCGAUGAAGGACGUGCUAAUCUGCGAAAAGCGUCGGUAAGGUGAUAUGAACCGUUAUAGCCGGCGAUGUCCGAAUGGGGAAACCCAGUGCAAUUCGUUGCACUAUCGUUAACUGAAUACAUAGGUUAACGAGGCGAACCGGGGGAACUGAAACAUCUAAGUACCCCGAGGAAAAGAAAUCAACCGAGAUUCCCCCAGUAGCGGCGAGCGAACGGGGAGCAGCCCAGAGUCUGAAUCAGCUUGUGUGUUAGUGGAACGGUCUGGAAAGUCCGACGGUACAGGGUGAUAGUCCCGUACACCAAAAUGCACAGGUUGUGAACUCGAAGAGUAGGGCGGGACACGUGGUAUCCUGUCUGAAUAUGGGGGGACCAUCCUCCAAGGCUAAAUACUCCUGACUGACCGAUAGUGAACCAGUACCGUGAGGGAAAGGCGAAAAGAACCCCGGCGAGGGGAGUGAAAAAGAACCUGAAACCGUGUACGUACAAGCAGUGGGAGCACCUUCGGGUGUGACUGCGUACCUUUUGUAUAAUGGGUCAGCGACUUAUAUUCUGUAGCAAGGUUAACCGUAUAGGGGAGCCGCAGGGAAACCGAGUCUUAACUGGGCGUUAAGUUGCAGGGUAUAGACCCGAAACCCGGUGAUCUAGCCAUGGGCAGGUUGAAGGUUGGGUAACACUAACUGGAGGACCGAACCGACUAAUGUUGAAAAAUUAGCGGAUGACUUGUGGCUGGGGGUGAAAGGCCAAUCAAACCGGGAGAUAGCUGGUUCUCCCCGAAAGCUAUUUAGGUAGCGCCUCGUGAAUUCAUCUUCGGGGGUAGAGCACUGUUUCGGCUAGGGGGUCAUCCCGACUUACCAACCCGAUGCAAACUACGAAUACCGAAGAAUGUUAUCACGGGAGACACACGGCGGGUGCUAACGUCCGUCGUGAAGAGGGAAACAACCCAGACCGCCAGCUAAGGUCCCAAAGUCAUGGUUAAGUGGGAAACGAUGUGGGAAGGCACAGACAGCCAGGAUGUUGGCUUAGAAGCAGCCAUCAUUUAAAGAAAGCGUAAUAGCUCACUGGUCGAGUCGGCCUGCGCGGAAGAUGUAACGGGGCUAAACCAUGCACCGAAGCUGCGGCAGCGACACUAUGUGUUGUUGGGUAGGGGAGCGUUCUGUAAGCCUGCGAAGGUGGCCUGUGAGGGUUGCUGGAGGUAUCAGAAGUGCGAAUGCUGACAUAAGUAACGAUAAAGCGGGUGAAAAGCCCGCUCGCCGGAAGACCAAGGGUUCCUGUCCAACGUUAAUCGGGGCAGGGUGAGUCGACCCCUAAGGCGAGGCCGAAAGGCGUAGUCGAUGGGAAACAGGUUAAUAUUCCUGUACUUGGUGUUACUGCGAAGGGGGGACGGAGAAGGCUAUGUUAGCCGGGCGACGGUUGUCCCGGUUUAAGCAUGUAGGCGGAGGUUCCAGGUAAAUCCGGUACCUUUUAACGCUGAGGUGUGAUGACGAGGCACUACGGUGCUGAAGUAACAAAUGCCCUGCUUCCAGGAAAAGCCUCUAAGCAUCAGGUAACAUUAAAUCGUACCCCAAACCGACACAGGUGGUCAGGUAGAGAAUACCAAGGCGCUUGAGAGAACUCGGGUGAAGGAACUAGGCAAAAUGGUGCCGUAACUUCGGGAGAAGGCACGCUGGUGUGUAGGUGAAGUCCCUGCGGACGGAGCUGAGACCAGUCGAAGAUACCAGCUGGCUGCAACUGUUUAUUAAAAACACAGCACUGUGCAAACACGAAAGUGGACGUAUACGGUGUGACGCCUGCCCGGUGCCGGAAGGUUAAUUGAUGGGGUUAUCCGUAAGGAGAAGCUCUUGAUCGAAGCCCCGGUAAACGGCGGCCGUAACUAUAACGGUCCUAAGGUAGCGAAAUUCCUUGUCGGGUAAGUUCCGACCUGCACGAAUGGCGUAAUGAUGGCCAGGCUGUCUCCACCCGAGACUCAGUGAAAUUGAACUCGCUGUGAAGAUGCAGUGUACCCGCGGCAAGACGGAAAGACCCCGUGAACCUUUACUAUAGCUUGACACUGAACAUUGAGCCUUGAUGUGUAGGAUAGGUGGGAGGCUUUGAAGCGUGGACGCCAGUCUGCGUGGAGCCAACCUUGAAAUACCACCCUUUAAUGUUUGAUGUUCUAACGUUGGCCCGUAAUCCGGGUUGCGGACAGUGUCUGGUGGGUAGUUUGACUGGGGCGGUCUCCUCCCAAAGAGUAACGGAGGAGCACGAAGGUUAGCUAAUCCUGGUCGGACAUCAGGAGGUUAGUGCAAUGGCAUAAGCUAGCUUGACUGCGAGCGUGACGGCGCGAGCAGGUGCGAAAGCAGGUCAUAGUGAUCCGGUGGUUCUGAAUGGAAGGGCCAUCGCUCAACGGAUAAAAGGUACUCCGGGGAUAACAGGCUGAUACCGCCCAAGAGUUCAUAUCGACGGCGGUGUUUGGCACCUCGAUGUCGGCUCAUCACAUCCUGGGGCUGAAGUAGGUCCCAAGGGUAUGGCUGUUCGCCAUUUAAAGUGGUACGCGAGCUGGGUUUAGAACGUCGUGAGACAGUUCGGUCCCUAUCUGCCGUGGGCGCUGGAGAAUUGAGGGGGGCUGCUCCUAGUACGAGAGGACCGGAGUGGACGCAUCACUGGUGUUCGGGUUGUCAUGCCAAUGGCACUGCCCGGUAGCUAAAUGCGGAAGAGAUAAGUGCUGAAAGCAUCUAAGCACGAAACUUGCCCCGAGAUGAGUUCUCCCUGAGACUUUAAGUCUCCUGAAGGAACGUUGAAGACGACGACGUUGAUAGGCCGGGUGUGUAAGCGCAGCGAUGCGUUGAGCUAACCGGUACUAAUGAACCGUGAGGCUUAACCUU